GAUGAAGAACGUAGCGAAAUGCGAUAAGUAAUGUGAAUUGCAGAAUUCAGUGAAUCAUCGAAUCUUUGAACGCACAUUGCGCCCGCUAGUAUUCUGGCGGGCAUGCCUGUCCGAGCGUCAUUUCAACCCUCAAGCCCCCGGGCUUGGUGUUGGGGAUCGGCGAGCCUCCGCGCCCGCCGUCCCCUAAAUCUAGUGGCGGUCUCGCUGUAGCUUCCUCUGCGUAGUAGCACACCUCGCACUGGGAAACAGCGCGGCCACGCCGUUAAACCCCCAACUUCUGAACGUUUGACCUCGGAUCAGGUAGGAAUACCCGCUGAACUUAAGCAUAUCAAUAAGCGGAGG
rnacentral:misc_RNA from 1 species